CCUUGAGUGCCUGGGACACAGCAGACGCACAAUACAGGCAGCCUUAAAUUCUACCAGGGAGGCCAGGAAUGGCUGGGAGGCCUGUCCUCAUGACCUGUCAGAAGCUGGAUUGGAAGAGAGGACUUCUGGGCUCUGCAACUGAUGCCACAGGGGCAUGACUUUGCAUUACCUGGAGCCAGUUUUUCCCUCCAGAAAAUGGGCAUAAGGGUGACCCAUUCAAGCCACCAAAAAUAACGUACCACUUACAAAGCCAACCUCUCUAACUGUCCUGGGCUCACGUGACAUUUUGUCAAGAGCCCACCAUGUCCUCAGUGUGUGUGGGUCCCUGAGGGGCAAUCUCACUCCUCUCCCCUUCCAGUCACCCCGCACUGUCUCCUCCUAGAGCUGUGACCACCUGGGAAAACAGGACAUGAACACAUGAAGCCAUGGUGAGUCAGCAGAUGGCGUGUCGUUCUGUCUGAGCAUGGCAGGAGGUCAGAGAAGGGAAAGCCCCGAAGAUGCCAGAAUACAGAGCCCUGGCCUCUACCUCCCAGCAAGAGCCGGACCCAGCCUGCAAGCAUGACCAGCAUGAUUUCUGAUGAAGCUCCCAACAGCAGUGGCUUUCCAGGCUGCCCGGCCCAGGACCUGACUCAUGGAAAUCCCACCAGGUAAAAGACUUUGGCCCUAGGUAAGUCCUGAGUUUGAUUCCCAGCUCUGUUGGGACUACUAGUCAGGGAUGAUGC
rnacentral:lncRNA from 1 species